CUCCCCAAGCAGCAGCGAUUUGGGGGCACCCCAGGGAGCAGCGCUCCCACCCCCCAAUAUCGUCCUGCCGGGGUCAGAGGCCCCCAGAGAGUGGGGGCCCCAGUUUGAGAUGGAUUUCGAAGGGCGCCGUUACUUCUGCAGUAUCUAGAUGAGUUCCCUGAACAUAGCGAGCACUCAAUAAAUUAUUGUUGAAUGAAUGUAUGAAUAAGUGGAACCUUCAAGAAGCAUGACAAUUAACUGCUCUCCAAAGACGGAUAACUGGAGGGGAAGAGCUCGAACCCUAAAUGGAGUUUCAGUCUUACCUGAAGCAUUCAUUGGUCUGGAGAAAUCCAAAUGGCCCCUACUCACACCAGCCAAGGUAUGUGCUUGAAAGUCCCUUACUACUUCACAACA